rnacentral:rRNA from 1 species
ACGGGGGGAGCAAGCGUUGUCCGGAAUCAUUGGGCGUAAAGGGCGUGUAGGCGGCUUGGCAAGUCGAAUGUGAAAUCCCACGGCUCAACCGUGGAACUGCGUUCGAAACUGCCUUGCUUGAGUGCGGGAGAGGUGUGCGGAAUUCCUGGUAUGGCGGUGGAAUGCGUAGGUAUCAGGGAGAACACCGGUGGCGAUGGCGGGACACUGGCCCAGGACGGACGCUGAGGCGCGAAAGCGUGGGGAGCGAACGG